rnacentral:tRNA from 1 species
GCCGCUGUAGCUCAGCUUGGUAGAGCAAAUUCAUAAUCUGUAUUAUGAAGCUCAACUGGCUGUUAACCAGUAGGUCAUCAGUUCGAGUCUGAUCAGCGGCG